GUUGCGUCGGAAGUUUCAUGAACCUUAUCACUUAGAGGAAGGAGAAUCGUAACAAGGUUUCCGUAGGUGAACCUGCGGAAGGAUCAUUCG
rnacentral:rRNA from 1 species